GAAACUUGUCAACAUUCUGGUGGCAGAUAUGAUUGAAAGUCAUGGGAGGAUCCCUCCAGUCAAUGUACGCAUUACCUAUGCCCUUGGAAUUGUCACUCUUUUCCCCAAUCUGAGAGAUAAGGAAUCAGCCACUGGUUAUGAGCAUUACUAUGAUCCUCACAGUGGACAGGGCUACCUGGCCUACCGAUUGAAGACGGUUCAGCGCAACAGUGCAAGUGACACCAAAAGG